UAGACAAGAGGCACAAGGAGCGUUUUUAUUUUAUUUAAACAUGAUUACAAUGAUUACAAAGACAUCUUACCUACGGUGUAUCCAAACAACAGUAACAUGUCUAACUGUGAAUUGGACAGACAUCAUUUGGAUCAAAAAUAAGGUAGUUAGCUGUAUAGUAUAACUCGCUUUUAAUGCUACAAUAUUGUAUCUUGUUUGGUAACAAGUUAGCUAGAUUUGACACACAUUUAACACCACUGUCAGCACAAAGCUAGACAGCAGCAUACCCAAAAUAUACACAAAAACGGGCGAUGAAGGUUUCUCUACACUGGAGAGAGAAGGCCCAAGGAAGAUCAUGUGUUUGAAGCAUUGGGAACAACAGAUGAGCUGUCAUCAGCAAUAGGAUUCAGUGUGUCUUACAAGAUGUGGGAUCCAACAUUGCCACACCUCUGUCACCUGCAAGAGAAAGAUAAGUAAAUAUAUUUCUGCAAAUCCUUUUGUAGAAUCAUUACACACAGCUCAGCCCAGCCAGUGGCAUUCUCAUUCUAUUCAUACUCUUAUCUCACUCUAUCCAACAGAGAAAAGCAAGUUCAGUUCCCAGCCAGUGGCAGACCUGGAAAGCUGUCUCGACCAUUCACAGAGGAGCUGCCACCACUGACAAACUUUAUAUUACCUGUAAGCACCCACUCUGGAUGAAACUUCUUUCAUUUCUUUAUUUUAAUUUUUUAUUUCACCUUUAUUUUACCAGGUAGGCCAGUUGAGAACAAGUUCUCAUUUACAACUGCGACCUGGCAAAGAUAAAGCAAAGCAGUGCGACAAAAACAACACAGAGUUGCACAUAAACAAACAUACAGUCAAUAACACAAAAAAGAAAAAUUGAAAAAUCUAUGUACAGUGUGUGCAAAUGUAGACGAGUAGGGAGGUAGGCAAUAAAUAGGCCAUAGAGGUGAAAAUAAUUACAAUUUAGCAUUAAUACUGGAGUGAUAGAUGUGCAGAUGAUGAUGUGCAAGUAGAGAUACUGGUGCAAGAGGGUAAGUAAUAAUAUGGGGAGGAGGUAGUUGGGUGUACUAUUUACAGAUUGUCUGUGUACAGGUACAGUGAUCGGUAAGCUGCUCUGACAGCUGAUGCUUAAAAUUAGAGAGGGAGAUAUAAGACUCCAGCUUCAGAGAUUUUUGCAAUUCGUUCCAGUCAUUGGCAGCAGAGAACUGGAAGGAAAGGCAGCCAAAGGAAGUGUUGGCUUUGGGGAUGACCAUGCAAUAUAUAUGCUGGAGCGCGUGCUACUGGGUGUUGCUAUGGUGACCAGUGAGCUGAGAUAAGGCGGGGCUUUACCUAGCGAAGACUCAUAGAUGACCUGGAGCCAGUGGGUUUGGAGACGGAUAUGUAGUGAGGGCCAGCCAACGAGAGCAUACAGGUCGCAGUGGUGGGUAGUAUAUUGGGCUUUGGUGACAAAACAGAUGGCACUGUGAUAGACUGCAUCCAAUUUGCUGAGUAGAGUGUUGGGGGCUAUUUUGUAAAUGACAUCGCCGAAGUCAAGGAUCGGUAGGAUAGUCAGUUUUACGAGGGUAUGUUUGGCGGCAUGAGUGAAGGAGGCUUUGUUGCGAAAUAGGAAGCCGAUUCUAGAUUUAAUUUUGGAUUAGAGAUGCUUAAUGUGAGUCUGGAAGGAGAGUUUACAGUCUAACCAGACACCUAGGUAUUUGUAGUUGUCCACUUAUUCUAGGUCAGAACCGUCCAGAGUAGUGAUGCUAGUCGGGCAGGAGGGUGCGUGCAGCAAUCGGUUGAAGAGCAUGCACUUAGUUUUACUAGCAUUUAAAAGCAGUUGGAGGCCACGAAGGAGUGUUGUAUGGCGUUGAAGCUCGUUUGGAGGUCUGUUAGCAGUAUCCUAAGAUGGGCCAGAUGUAUACAGAAUGGUGUCGUCUGCGUAGAGGUGGAUCAGAGAUUCAACAGCAGCAAGAGCGACAUCAUUGAUAUAUACAGAGAAAAGAGUUGGCCCGAGAAUUGAACAUUUAUAAGGUGAUGUGGAAGUAUUGAUGAUCGGUUUACAGGUUCAAAUUCCAAAUAGUCUUAGCGUACUUCCAGGUAACACAUUUACAUUUAACAUUUAAGUCAUUUAGCAGACGCUCUUAUCCAGAGCGACUUACAAAUUGGAAAGUUCAUACAUAUUCAUCCUGGUCCCCCCAUGGGAAUUGAACCCUGGUCCCCCGUGGGAAUUGAACCCACAACCCUGGCGUUGCAAGCGCCAUGCUCUACCGACUGAGCCACACGGGACCUACAUCAGAUGAGGUUUUGAUAUGUUAAUCCAUGUUUAAAGCACCUCAAUACAUGUAUAUUGACAUUUACUAUCCAAUGAUGCAUUAUUUAUUAGGUCCCUUUGUUGGUGAAUACAUCUAUGCAUAUUGGUUUAAUGUGGUCUCUUAACUUGUCUGUCCGGUUACAUAGUCUGUAGGAAAGAGCAGUGCAGCCCUCCACAUAGCACGGACAGUGUGUCGCCGAGCAGAAUGCAGGUCAAUUUGAGCUAAUCAUAUGGUUGUUCAGACCAACCACUGUAAAACAGUCAUCCUGAACAUUGUCCCAGAAACAGCCAUAUUAACUAUAACACUGUCUUAUUUGUUCAGUGUUUCCCCUAUAGUGCGGUCAGGUGAGGCCGAUCCUGAUGUUGCCACAGUUUUGAACAGAUUGAAUGACUACCUGUUUACAGUGGCCAGGUACACAGCCAUGAAAUAAGGUGAGGAGAAACUCUACAAAAGACCUGAGUGACAAAUCUACACAUGAAUGAACAGACUGGGGAACUUUGAAACAACAUUUAUUCUGUUUAAGGGUUGAAUUCAUCAUUGGCAUAUGUAAAAGACAGAUUGAUGGUCUAAGCUUGAAUAUCUCGUAAUGGAACUGCCCCUAAAUUUCAAAUAAAGACUAGAAUCCAAGUUCGACUUUGCUGGAGGCUAAACCUUAACAUACUGAGUGGCACGUUGCUUUUAAUGAAAUGUGGAAACUGCUACAACAAUAACCUGUGACAGUAGGAUAAUACCGAAUAAAGAAUUCGAAUUUUGUAAUGAAGUGAGCAAGUUAUAAUCCUGUGUUGGAAGCACACAAUGUACAUUGUUGUAUUUAAAUGUCACAGGUUGGGUCACAAGAAGCUUCUUUAUAAAGUAUUUCAGAGAGCACUGGAUGAAUAGCUUAAAAUGUCCCAUAGAUACAAUAUUUAUACUGAUGGGCUAUCAUGCCAUGCUGCAGUAAAUAAACUUGCUGAUCAUAGUCACUGCAUUAGCAUCAUGUUCUACAUCAAAUGUAAAGUGCUGAAUAUAUUGUCAUAUUGGAGAACUAUCACAACCGGUCCUCAGAAUGUACUGUAGGUCCAGAUAUCCUCUUUUCACACUGGGCUUUACAGCAUGGUUUCAACAGCUUUGGUGGAUGUGUAAUCAAGCCAGUACAGUAGAGCUCAGCCCGGCUCAGUGUUGUAAAAAGGUCUCCAUCUUCCAACUCGCACACAGUCACAGUAUCUGGCACCAGCCCUGGCUCUUCUGGGAAAGGCUACUUGCCCAGGUCAUAAGUGACAGAUUGCGUUCCUCAUAUGGUGGGUAGCGCAGGUAGGUGACACACUCGAUGCAAGUGUUUCUGAGCAGGCAUGAUUUCCGGUGUGAGAAGGUGUCAAAGCUGUAGCGCCCAUGGUAGGAACCCAUCCCACUGGCACCUGUCAAGUAGAGUUAACCAAAUAUGGGAGGGUUAAUAUAAUAUAUUUAUUCAUUCACUAUGGUGCUGCCUUUUCAGACCUUAUUAUGGAAUCUUUUUUUUUUUUUAAGGGAGAUGCUGUUCGACACAAACCGGUGCGCCAGGCAACUACUGUACCACCAUACCGUUACAUUUUUUGUCUUGCCCCUUCACCCUCUGAAUUGCACACAAUCCUAUUACCAAGGCUUAAAAAUCCUUCUUUAACCUGUCCCCUCCAUCCACACUGAUUUAAGUGAAUUUAACAAGUGACAUCAAUAACGGAUCUUAGCUUUCACCUGUCAAUAGCAUGUUUGUUUUUAAUACUUUGUUCAAUAAGAACAGAUUUCUACUGCAAAACAUUUUAUUACAGCAUGUCCUACUGAACAUGACCCAGGUCUCUGUACUGAGAAGGGUUGAAGACCUGAGGCAGUAAUCUGACCCAGGCAGACCGUUCUCAAACCUACCUACUCCCCCAAAAGGCAGGACCACCAUUAGGCUCUGCAGGACACUGUCAUUGGAGCAGAAGCUCCCACUUGAGGUCUCACUCAUUAGCCUUGAGAUUACCUGCACGGGAAGCAGAAAGAGGCAUGACAGCCAGCAUAUAUUGUAUGUGUACACAUUAAUUGUGUGUGUAAGCUUGUGCCAGUCACCUUGCUGUUGCUAGAGUAAGCGUACACACAGAGAGGCUUCUCUCGACGACUGAUGAAGGAGAUUGCCUCAUCUAUGCUGUUGACGGUCAGAAUGGGCAGAACGGGGCCGAAAACCUCCUGCUGCAUGAUAGGGUCCGAGUCGAUCACAUCGCACAGAAUGGUUGGUGCUUCACACAAACAAAUAUAUAAACAAAAGUCAUUAUAUACAAAUACUGUGGUGUAGUACACAGACUGUAAAUCAGGUGCAUAUACAUGUAGGAAUAGUUUCCUGGACACCAAUUAAGCCUAAUCCCGAACUGAAGAGCACUUUCAAUGGAGAUUCUCUGUUGAGCAUGCUAUUUGCGCAGGACUAGGCUUAAUCUUCGUCAAGGAAACCAGGCCUUAGAAUCUCUUCAAAACUUCCUUCCUCAUUCAUUUACCAAUGUAUUUAUCUGCUUCAUUCACUUGGCCUCCUACAGCCACCUUGCCAGACUUCCGCAGCGGGUCCGUGGUGCGGUGUAAGUUCUCCAGGUUCACAAUGCGGCCAAAGCUCCUUGACUCCUGGGGGUCUGAACCAUAGAACUGCAGGAGGCAGCAGCGCAAGGCCUGGAGCAGCUGUGUUUUGACCUCGGCAUGGCACAGGACGUAGUCGGGUGCUACCAUACUCUGCCCAGCAUUAUGGAAGCGCGCCCAGGUGAUGCGUCGUGCCGUGGUGGUGAUGUCACACUGCUGGUCCACGUAGCAGGGGUUCUUACCACCGCUCAAGACCAGGGUGACGGGUGUGAGGGUGCGGGCUGCUGCCUGUGCCACUCUGCCCCCAUCCCCACGGUUUCCUAGGGGAACCAUUAUUACCUCAUACACAGAGCACACAUGACUUCUGAUACAACAAAGAUUAGGGCGCAAAAUUCAGAUAAGGCAAUGGUGACAUUUUAAAUCAGAACCUUUUUUACCUGUGAAGAAGACAUGAUCAAAUUUGAGGUCCACUAUUUCAGUCAGGUCAUUCACCCCUGCAAGGGUCACAUGGUAACACUCCUUUGAAAAGAGCAGGAAUGUUUGUAGGUUAAAAGGUAUACUCACUUAUAUGACAAGUCACCAAAACAGCCACCUGUGUAACAUUGAAUUCAACUCACAUUGUCCAGGUAUGACGGUAUGAGAUGGUGUAGCAGCUCCGAUGUGUGAGAACUACAUUCUGAGGGGUUGAGGAUCACACAGUUCCCUAAAGAACAAACAGAUACAACAGUACAACAAUUGGCAAGCAACUUUCAGUAUUGAAUGCAAAUGGAUGAGCAUUGUGUUUGAGUGUGUGACACUUAAAUGCCCUAAAGCCUAUAGUGACAGUGUAUUGUUACCUGCGGCAAUGGCCCCAACCAGGGGUACCAGACAGAGCUGAACAGGGCUACACCAGGCCCCCACAAUCAGCACCACCCCCAGUGGCUCAAACACCACCAGGCACUCAUCCAAUGUGGUGGUCUGCACCAAUCAGAAGAAGGCAGAGGGGAGGAGCUCACAUUACCCAGCCAAUGGAAAACUCAUGAGUCACAGAUACUACAUGCAUAGUCACUGUUUGGCAUGACAAUUCCAUAAGAAGUUGGAAAUAGAGCAAAAACAGACUGGCACCCAGACUAUUCUAAGCUGUUUUGACAAGUUCAGCACAAUAUAUUGCUUUGUAGCUGAGAGACAGCCCGUUCUCUCAAAGACAAUUUAACUAAUUGAUGAUCCAACAAUCAUAUUUUAAGUGGCUUUAAAACUUGUGUAUUCCUACAAAGUCCAACUAACCCACCCUCAUACAUAGCAAAAGGUUAUGCAACAGAAAACAAAAAACUGUGUUGUUACUGGACAAAUUCAGGUAGUAGUACCUCCCCGUUUCACUCCAUUUCAAAAUGUUUCUCCCAACUGAACACGACCCAGUAUUCAGAAAACACACACAGGGCACCCUGCAACAGUCUUACCAGGUUCCUCUCCACCUGUUGCGGCUCCAUCCACUUCUUGAGGUUGUUGAUGGCAUGAAGAGCCUCGUUCUUCACCAGUAUCAGUUCAGAAACUACCGUCUCAAACCGCGGCUGGCAAAACACCACAAACGCUCAAGUCUCGGACAGAACAUUUGAAAUAAGGCCUUGAUGGUAGCCGGUUUGUUUACACUACUGAUUACCUUGAAGAUAAACAUUAUAAAAUGCCAGACUGAUUUAUUGGGGAACCAAUGUGUGCCUUCAGGAAUGUGGAUUCCCUAAUAAAAUCACUGGGAGUAAUAAAGGUGAUAUACACACACGUGUCAACAGCUUUAGAACACCUACUCAGGGGUUUUUAUUUUUACUCUUUUCUACAUUGUAGAAUAAUAGUGAAGACAUCAAAACUAUGAAAUAACGCAUGGAAUCAUGUAGUAACUAAAAAAGAACAGCUCAAAUAAGCAAAGACAAAAACGACAGUCCAUCAUUACUUUAAGUCAGUAAAUACGAAAAAUUUGAAGAAUUUUCAGUCACAAAAACCAUCAAGCGUUAUGAAACUGGCUCUCAUGAUGACUGCCACAGGAAUGGAAGACCCAGAGUUCAUUAGAGUUACCAGCCUCAGACAUUUCAGCCCAAAUAAAUGCUUCAGAGUUCAAGUAACAGCCACAUCUCAAAUUCAACUGUUCAGAAUCAGGCCUUCAUGGUCAAAUUGCUGCAAAGAAUCCACUACUAAAGGACACCAAUAAGAAGAAGAGACUUGCUUGGGCCAAGAAACACAAGCAAUGGACAUUAGACCGGUGGAAAUCGGUCCUUUGGUCUGAUGAGUCCAAAUUGGAGAUUUUUGGUUCCACCCGCCGUGUCUUUGUGAGACGCAGAGUAGGUGAAUGGAUUAUCUCUGCGUGUGUGGUUCCCACCGUGAAGCAUGGAGGAAAAGGUGUGAUGGUGUGGGGAUGCUUUGCUGGUGACACAGUCAGUGAUAUAUUUAGAAUUCAAGGCCCACUUAACCAGCAUGGCUACCACAGCAUUCUGCAGCGGUACGCCAUCCCAUCUGGGUUGGGCUUAGUGGGACUAUCGUUGGUUUUUCAACAGGACAAUGACCCAACACACCUCCAGGCUGUGUAAGGGCUAUUUUAACAAGAAGGAGAGUGAUGGAGUGCUGCAUCAGAUGACCUGGCCUCCACAAUCCCCCGACCGCAACCCAAUUGAGAUGGUUUGGGAUGAGUCGGACAGGCAGAGUGAAGGAAAAGCAGCCAACAAGCACUCAGCAUAUGUGGGAAGUCCUUCAAGACUGUUGGAAAAGCAUUCCAGGUUAAGCUGGUUGAGAGAAUGCCAAGUGUGCAAAGCUGUCAUCAAGGAAAAGGCUAUUUGAAGAAACUCAAAUAUAAAAUAUAUUUAGAUUUGUUUGACAUUUUUUUGGUUACUACAAGAUUCCAUGUGUGUUAUUUCAUAGUUUUGAUGUCUUCACUAUUAUUCUAAUCGUAAAAAUAAAAACCCUUGAACGAGUAGGUGUUCUAAAACUUUUGACCGGUAGUGUAUAUACACACACAUAUACAUUAUAUAGAACAAAAUGCAACAAUUUCAAAGAUUUUACUGAGUUACAGUUCAUAUGAGGGAAAUCAGACAAUUGAAAUAAAUUCAUUACACCCUAAUCUAUGGAUUUCACAUGACUCGGAAUACAGACAUGUAUUUGUUAGUCACAGAUACCUUAAAACAGGUAUUCCCAGGGGUAUGCGCAAUGCCGUCGGGGGUACGCCAAAUAAAAAUGUAUUUUUCUUCACAUUUUCACAGUCCAUUUAUAUUUUCCAACGGGCUAUACAUUUGGGUGAGUUUCUCCCCCCCCCUCACCUGAUUAGCCUAGUUUCACUGCCAAAAAUAAAAUUAAACCAUCUAGUGAUCAGCGAAAUAACAACAAUGUAAAAUACAGGUAGCCCAGCUAGCAUGGACACUGACAGUUGGGAAUCUGAUGCAGCCAAAGAGAAUUAAGACAACUUUUGAGUAGUAAGACGUGCAUAAAUGCAACUAAUUAAUAAGAAGGGGCUAGAAGGGUCUUAUAUGGUGGUGAGCUACCGAGUGGCUAGGACAGGCAAGCCCCAUACUAUUGUGGAGUGCUUAAUUCUUCCUUCUGCCGCAAAUAUGGCAGGGACAAUGCUGGGGGAAAAGACAAAAAAAAAAUGGGUACACUGCAGCAUCCACCAAGAGGCUCUUGCUGCCAAGGGAAUGCCUGACCGCUUGAAAGACGUUUUGGACACUACAGUGAAAAUAGUUAACUUGUUAAAGGCAAGGCCCCUGAACGCGUGUGUAUUUUCUGCACUAUGCAAUGAUAUGGGCAGCGACCAUGUAACACUUUUACAACAUACAGUAGUGUGCUGGUUAUCAAGGGGCAAAGUAUUGACAUGUUUUUUUUUUAUUUAAAUGAGCUUAAAGUUCUUUUUACUAAUCAUUAUUUUCUCGUCUGACCACUUGCAUGAUGACGAGUUUCUCACACGACUGGUCUCUGGGUGAUGUUUUUUCUCGCCUGAAUGAUCUGAAUCUAGGAUUACAGGGACUCUCCGCAACUAUAUUCAAUGUGCGGGACUAAAUUGAGGCUAUGAUUAAGAAGUUUGAGUUCUUCUCUGUCUGCAUUAACAAGGACAACACACAGGUCUUUCCAUCAUUGUAUGAUUUUGUGUGUGCAAACGAGUGAGUUUGAUGCGCAAUUACGCAGGUACUUUCCCAAAACAGAUGACACAAACAACUGGAAUCGUUAUCCCUUUCAUGCCCUGCCUCCAGCCCACUUACCGAUAUCUGAACAAGAGAGCCUCAUCGAAAUUGCAUCAAGCGGUUCUGUGAAAAUGUAAUUUAAUCAGAAGCCACUGCCAGAUUUCUGGAUUGGACUGCGGUCAGAGUAUCCUGCCUUGGCAAGUCACACUGUUAAGACACUGAUGCCCUUUACAACCAAGUACCUAUGUGAUAGUGGAUUCUCGGCCCUCACUAGCAUGAAAACUAAAUACAGGCACAGACUGUGUGUGGGAAAUUAUUUAAGACUGAGACUCUCUCCAAUACAACCCAACAUUGCAGAGUUAUGUGCAUCCUUUCAAGCACACCCUUCUCAUUAACCUGUGGUGAGCUAUUCACAAUUUGAUGAACAAAUAAAGGUUUUAUAUGUAAGAUGGUUAAAUAAAAGAGCAAAAUGUAUUA